rnacentral:rRNA from 1 species
UACGUAGGGAGCGAGCGUUAUCCGGAAUUAUUGGGCGUAAAGGGUGCGUAGAUGGCAUAGUAAGUCUUUUGUAAAAAUGCUGGGCUCAACCCAGUAGGGCAAAAGAUACUGCAAAGCUAGAGUAUGACAGAGGCAAGUGGAACUACAUGUGUAGCGGUAAAAUGCGUAAAUAUAUGUAAGAACACCAGUGGCGAAGGCGGCUUGUUGGGUCGAUACUGACAUUGAGGCACGAAAGCGUGGGGAGCAAACAGG